rnacentral:lncRNA from 1 species
CAAUACCUAGGAUGAAGUGGCUCGUGUCAAAACAGAGCUUCCUUAAGCUUCUCUUUAACAGUGUGAAGGCAAAAAUGCACUGGAUAUUUUCACAAACACGUAGUUUAACAACCUGCUUGGAGAGCCUUCUCUGCUAAUUUUACUCUCAGGUUUGUGAAAUCUUGGCUGCAACAGGGGUAAAGCACCUUGAAUCUGGAGUACUAGUUUAAUGCUGCAGGUUUUUUUUGCUUGAAAGGUUCCUUAUAUCCUUCAAAAAAAUACAACGAACUUCAGCAAUAGCACCUGAUCGGAGGAAACAUAUGCUGUCAAGAAGUCUGGGAGUAAGCAGGCACCAGUGCAGCUUAGAACUACCCUUUUUGUCUUUUACUGCUUGCACUCUGUAGGUUUACACAUACUUUAGUACCAGCGCUACAUCAAAUGUUUCAUGACAGCUGCAGCUUGACCUGAAGAGUAUUUCUAGCCACUGAAAUAAAAAUUAUUUUUUAAAAAAG